GCCUUCUAGACUUCAUUUUUGGUUUAUGUGUAUUUUAUCUGUGUUGCUAAUAAUAUCGUCAGUUUUUAUAAUUCUAUGUUGUUAAAUAAAGCAUCACUAUGUUUCAGGCUAAAAUGGAGCUUUGAAGAAUACUUUUAGCCAGUUUAAAUAAAUAACAAAACUCAUGAUGUAUUAACUGAAUUAUCUUUUCAUUUUGAUAGUCUUUAGUCAAUAUCGGACUUUUAAAUUGUUAUGAGUCUAGAACACUUAAUUUCAGCGAAAUUAAAUUAAAAUAUCACGUCAUAGAAGAAAGAACAAUGUCAAUAUCUGUUUUUGAUAAUUUGGCUUACAUAGCAAAUCUCAGAGGUGCAUAAUAAAAUAUAUCGUUGCAUACUCAUUUUGAUGGUCGUAAUUUUUUAAGCAUACUCACUUUUAUAUAUUAGACUGUUUACCGUUUGACUGCUGUCCCUAAUCUAAUCUAGUGGGUCCGAAAAAAAAGGACUGCGCUGGAAACAUGAAGGGGUUAAAAGGAUUAGCCCUUUUUGAAUUAAUAUUCGAAGUCGUAGCCAGCUCGUAUGAAAGGAUUUCUCUACGUAAAAUAGUUAAAUUUAUUCAACAAUGCAAAGAAACAGAGCUCGCUCAAGAAACAGUGAAAAAUAGAAA